UACGAAGGGUGCAAGCGUUGUCCGGAAUCACUGGGCGUAAAGGGCGCGUAGGCGGCUCAUGAAGGCUGUGGUGAAAGUCCGGGGCUCAACCUCGGAUCGGCCGUGGCGACUCGUGGGCUGGAGCACUGUAGAGGCGGGUGGAAUUCCCGGUGUAGAGGUGAAAUUCGUAGAUAUCGGGAGGAACACCAGUGGCGAAGGCGGCGACCUGGACGGACACUGACGCUGAGACGGCGAAAAGCGUGGGGAGCAAACAGG
rnacentral:rRNA from 1 species